AGUCUGGAGCUGAGGUUCUCACUGUGGCAAGCAGCUACCACGCAGGGACAGGAAGUCUGAUGGAGCCCUUGAUUACAGGUGUCUGUGCAGAAAAGAAGACAACGGCAGCAACCUUUCCUCAUCCCCUUGUUGCCUCCCAGAGACAGAGGGAGUGAACGAUCUGGGAGCAGAGCGUUGCUUAGGCCAUUUGCCAUUUCCCCUUCCUGUUCUGCUCUCUCUUCGCACCAGCAGAACCUCCUUCCAUGAAGCUCCCAGAAUCCUUGCUCUGGCCUUCUACUGCCCCCACGCACACCCACACAGGCCCUUAACCCCUCACGUGCAGCUGCCCUCAGCUGCUCUCCGCUGCUCUCCAGUUUAGGGGCAUCACACCUCCAUGGCUUAACCUCAGCAAAGUGUCAGCAGGCCUUUGCAGGGGUAGGGAAUGCAGGACCCCGCAGUACCUACAGCCGGAGAGGCAUGCGCUAUCCCUGGCACGUUUCCCGUGUGCGCAGGUGGCCCAGGGAAGGGGUGACUGCUCGCCGUUGCCCCGAGCUUGUCUCUGGGCCCCGGAAGGGCAGUGGGAAUGCCACCCUGAGCAGAGGUGAGACUCACAGGGCAUCCCCAAGCGCACUCUAGGCUUCAGUUGUGCACACGUACACAUUUACUGAGCCUGUACCGUGUGCCAAGUGCUGGGGAUUCCGCAAGCAAGAAAACAUUCGGAGUCUCUGACUUCACAGAGCUAAAAUUCACACGGGAGGAGGCGGUCGGCACGUAACAGACAACUAGAGAAUGACGCGAGUUGAGAUGGCGUUUUUGACAGCUCCCUUCCAGAGGAAACUGUAUUGUUCAGCGUUGGAGGGCCUGGGUUCCCUCCAGCAGUCCCCACCCUUCCAUGAGAGCCAAGGCCCUGGAGCACCUGAAAAAGUGGCUGGCCUCCCGGGACCCCCACUGUGCGGCAGCUUCGGAGGUAGGAGUGUGAUUGGCUCUGAUCUGACGAAACCAGCCUCCUUAUUGAAAGUUGUGGUUGUCAGUCUAAUGGCGCCCUAGAAAGCUUGUGAUCUAGACCUGGCCAAUCAGAGCACAAGGAUUAGUUAAAGCAGGGCACAUGAUCUUAGGAUGGCCAAUCAGAGGCCAGCCUUGCACUUUGGAAAGAAGGAGCUCUCCUUAGGCUGGGAGGGGCCAAGCCGCUGGCCCGUGAGCCUGGGACAGCUCUGGACUGUGCUUGCUGUCCUUGAGGAGAAUACAGCCAGCCCACGGCAAAUCAGAGCCAGGCAGGUGAGGAAGUUACUAAGAAGACUUUUUGACAUGUACAAGUCUGGAUCUAAGGAAUAAAGUGAAGUUGUCCAAAAGAAAUGCCUGCUGAAAGAAACAGAAGGAAAAAGAGAUGAAGGAGCUGGGGACAAUGCAAACAAGCCUGGACACCUUUAUAAUUUUCUUUGGGCUCGGCAUGGCAUCCAAGCUCCUGUAGAUCUGACCUUUGCCUUUUCUAGAAAAAACUAAUAAGUUAUCCUAGAUUGUAUGGUGGGCGUUAUUAAUCUAGUUAAUAGAUUGCACUGUUUUUAUGAGGGCUUUGGCCCAUUAAUUGUUUCCAUGCAAAUGGAUGCCGUUAAUUACAAAUUAAUCUUAUCUUUUUGUUAAGGCAGGGCCAUCAGGACCUCCACUUGGCAAUGCUUGCUGGCACUUGAUAUGAAUCAAUGCGUACACUUGAAAGUAAUAAAACUGCAUUUAUUUAAAGAUAGUUAAUAAAUCAGAUCUUCAUUAAUGCAG